rnacentral:misc_RNA from 1 species
GUAGGUGAACCUGCGGAAGGAUCAUUAAGGGAGCAUUGCUCAAUAGCAUUCAGGCCCGCCACCCUUUGUAUACCUCUUUUUGUUGCUUUGGCAAGCCUGUAGGCCUUACUACUAUCAGUUCUACUGGUCAGCGCUUGUCAAAAGAUUUUUAACCUCAAGAUUAUACUGUGUCUGAGUAAUUUACAAUAGUUAAAACUUUCAACAACGGAUCUCUUGGUUCUG